UUCUACAGUUACCCCACCCUGAAUGUGCCCAUCUCUGAUCUCAAGACGCUAAGGAGCAUCUGGCUGGUUAGUACUUGGAGGGGAGACGGCCUUGGGACACCAGUGCUGUAGGCU
rnacentral:rRNA from 1 species